GAGACUUCAUGUAAUAACAGUAUGGUCCUAUGGAUUUCAGUACCAAAACUGAUUUUCUACCGUUUUUCUUCCAAGAAAGUUCUGAACAGCUGAAUCCUGGAUCAGCCUAGAUGUUAUUUCACUGGAUUAUUUAAUGAAUAUUACUCUACUGAGUUACCUGGUUACAUGGAUCAGCUAAGAUGUUGUUUCACUGGAUUAUUUAAUUGGGCAUAUAAUUGGAUAAUUCUGUCCUCAACCUGGAAGAUAUGUUUUAUUCCUAACCAUCUAUAAUCCAUUCUCUAUGAAGUUCAGCCUGUCUGCCCAAAUUCCUUUGGAAAUACAUAGUUAGUCAACCAACAUAGAAACAAUCAAACUUGAAGUCCUCAACCUGGAAGAUAUGUUUUAUUCCUAACCAUCUAUAAUCCAUUCUCUAUGAAGUUCAGCCUGUCUGCCCAAAUUCCUUUGGAAAUACAUAGUUAGUCAACCAACAUAGAAACAAUCAAACUUGAAGUCAUCAACAUGGAAGAUAUGUUUUGUUCCUAACCAUCUGUAAUCAAUUCUCUAUGAAGUUCAGACUGUCUGCUCUUCCUUUGGAAAUACACAGUUAGUCAAUCAACAUAGAAACACACAAACUUGAAGGAUUCUCUAGUGAGAGGUUAUAGAAAUGAUCUAUGUCUACUCUUAGAAUGGUGAAAGACUCUCAGAUUAUGCAAAGACUAACAGAAUAUCCUCUCUUGGAACACUGAAACAAGAAAACCAAACUUAAGAGGAUGCAGGAUUUAAGAAGAACAUAAAUAUGAUUUCCAUCGAAUUUAACCAGUACGAUCAUAGACUGUGGUUUAUACAGGAUGACAAAGAAAGGACCCAGGAUUGUAUGUUUCACUGUCAGACACUGACUAUGGAUAAAGUGUAAUCAUUUAUCAAACUGAGAUCUAGUCAAAUCAAGUAUUGAAAAUAUGAUUUUCUGAUAGCAUGAGCUCUUUAAAAACUAUUUCUCACUGACCUCAAAGUAUCUGAAUGUGACUUUUAUUUUUACCAAUUCAUAUUGAAGACUGUUGUUAUGUAUGGGAAUUACACAUUUAAACCUUUUAUUUUUCAUCUAAUUUUUACAACCCCCUAGAAAUUACACAGAUAUCCAGAUGCUGGAUUUAAUGGUAUUAUUUAACUUUCCUGGAAUUGUAAAUAUAU